UACGAAGGGGGCUAGCGUUGCUCGGAAUCACUGGGCGUAAAGCGCACGUAGGCGGAUUGCUAAGUCAGGGGUGAAAUCCUGGAGCUCAACGCCAGAACUGCCUUUGAUACUGGCGACCUUGAGUCCGGGAGAGGUGAGUGGAACUGCGAGUGUAGAGGUGAAAUUCGUAGAUAUUCGCAAGAACACCAGUGGCGAAGGCGGCUCACUGGCCCGGUACUGACGCUGAGGUGCGAAAGCGUGGGGAGCAAACGGG
rnacentral:rRNA from 1 species